GAUGAACGCUAGCGGCAGGCCUAACACAUGCAAGUCGAGGGGUAGAGGAAGCUUGCUUCCUUGAGACCGGCGCACGGGUGCGUAACGCGUAUGCAAUCUGCCUUGUACUGAGGGAUAGCCCAGAGAAAUUUGGAUUAAUACCUCAUAGCAUUAUGAAAUCGCAUGGUUUUAUAAUUAAAGUUCCAACGGUACAAGAUGAGCAUGCGUCCCAUUAGUUAGUUGGUAAGGUAACGGCUUACCAAGACGAUGAUGGGUAGGGGUCCUGAGAGGGAGAUCCCCCACACUGGUACUGAGACACGGACCAGACUCCUACGGGAGGCAGCAGUGAGGAAUAUUGGUCAAUGGACGCAAGUCUGAACCAGCCAUGCCGCGUGCAGGAUGAAGCAUCUAUGGUGUGUAAACUGCUUUUGUACGGGAAGAAACACUCCUACGUGUAGGAACUUGACGGUACCGUAAGAAUAAGGAUCGGCUAACUCCGUGCCAGCCGCCGCGUAAUAC
rnacentral:rRNA from 1 species